UACGUAGGGUGCGAGCGUUGUCCGGAAUUAUUGGGCGUAAAGGGCUCGUAGGCGGUUUGUCGCGUCGGGAGUGAAAACGCCGUGCUUAACACGGCGCUUGCUUUCGAUACGGGCAGACUAGAGGUAUUCAGGGGAGAACGGAAUUCCUGGUGUAGCGGUGAAAUGCGCAGAUAUCAGGAGGAACACCGGUGGCGAAGGCGGUUCUCUGGGAAUGACCUGACGCUGAGGAGCGAAAGUGUGGGGAGCGAACGGG
rnacentral:rRNA from 1 species